rnacentral:sRNA from 1 species
UUGACAGCUAAAAAGACUGAAGUCCUUUAUUUACUCACUGACCAGGUACAGUUUGGGCAGCAGUAUUGCAAGCUUCUCAUCCUGUCAAAAAACCUGAGGUGGUUCAACUCUGACUUGGAGGGACCUACCUCUAAGGAUAGAUUAGUCUCCAUGGCCCUUUCAAUCCUUGGCUGCU